ensembl:lncRNA
UAUGCCGAUAUUAACGUUGUCAUGUUAUGAACCGCUGAUGAAUAAUAGGUCUGUGCGUUGUUUAAAUACACAAUGAUUGUUAGCCACCAAGCAUAGCCACCAGCUUUCCUACUAUUUCCCAUGCUGGCUCCAUAGAUUCAUUUUCACAUUGAUGUGGAAUGUCAUAUCUUCCAUCACCAGUAGAUGGCAGCACCAUCUAGGGGAAAAAUGUAUUGCUCUCAGAAACAACGGCAUUCCAAUAAUGUAGCAUCCUGAUGAUGUUGGCAUUGUAGGAAAUGACAAGCAACAUGUGUGCCUAACAUUGGACUGAGUCUCAGUAGCAUCAACUAGCAUUAGGACAUGCUGGUGCAACAAGCCAAAGCAGAACACUUGAUUCAAAAUGUACACGCAGACCUGAUAUAUUUAUGAUAAAUUAUGCUAGUGAUAGAUUACUACACUGUAUGUAAACAAAAAAGGAGAAAAAACUUUUUGACCCCUGUAAUUGGAAAAUACAUGUUCAAAAGAAGACAGGGAACCCCAACUAACUGCCACUGUUCAUUCAUAUUUUGACUGUUUAGGUUUUAUAAUUUAUUAUAUUCUUUAAUUGUAUUGAUUGCAUGUAACAGAGACGUGAAGAGCAGGUUUUGUAAUAUGAAGUGGAUGUGAUUUCAAUUUACCCAUAGAGCUACUCACACAAUGAUUAAAAUUACAGUGACAACAAGCCUGUUAAUAGACACUGCAAUUGGGAGCAGCAAUGUUUAUAACUUUAUUCCUACAGACAGACAACAGAAAGAAAUUACAAGUCAAAUGUUACAUACACAUGUAGGUACAUGUAGGAAACAUUCGAGAUUAAUUAAAUUCAAGAUGGAAAUACACAUUCUCUGAGUUUAGGGAUUGUGUGGGGGUGUGGUGAUUCCCUAUAUGGUACUGAGAUCGUCUCCAAACGUCUAUGGUCAAAAGUCAUGUGUGGAAACAGAUCAAAGAUUAUGGCAGAACGGAAAAAGAAUGUUCUCUCAAACAUGUCCAUGUCCAGUCAUGUGGGCAGAAGUCAGCGAUAGGUCAUUGCAUGUAUCCUCACGGUUUCUUUAUCAGCCAAUCAAGGUCAAUAUUUCUCUCUGUUAUCCUUCCAUGUCUUUACUGAGUUCCUCCAACAUGUCUGAGUUUGUGUGUUGUGUCUGUGCCUUGGCUCCCACUACUUUCUUAGUCAGUAGGUGUAGUAGUACCAAUGGUUUAGCUGCUCUAGUUUUAAUGGGAGCAGCAGCAGUAGUAUCAGCCUCAGCAACAGUUACAGUAUCCACAGUUGCAGUAUCCACAGUUGCAGCACCCACAGUUGCAGCACCCACAGUUGCAGCACCCACAGUUGCAGCCGCAGCAGCAGGAAUCGUAGUUGCAGCAGCUGUUGUCGUCGUCACGGUCACCGAAGCAGCAUUCUUUUUCUUUUUCUUUUGUCUUCUUCUUUUCUUUCGUGUUUUGUUUUCCCCCGCAGCAUCGGGGUUAGCAGCUGCGGCAGCGGCGGCCUCAGCAGCCUUCCUUGCCCUCCUUGCCCUUCGCCUUUGUGCUUUCUCUUUCCGCGUCAACUUUCGAUGCGGGUUCUCGAAAUUCUGUUUCACCUUCGGUGGUGGUAGAGUCACUUCUUUGAAGACCGAAAGAAAACGUAUUUUCUCGUUGUUCGACGUCCCCUGCAUUUCUGCCACCCUGAGGUUGGUCUCUGCCAUCACCUGGUUGGGUGGCCCGGGGGGGAACGAUGGGAGAAUCGGGUAA